CCUACGGGAGGCAGCAGUGAGGAAUAUUGGUCAAUGGGCGUAAGCCUGAACCAGCCAAGUCGCGUGAGGGAUGAAGGUUCUAUGGAUCGUAAACCUCUUUUAUCAGGGAAUAAAGUGCGGGACGUGUCCCGUUUUGUAUGUACCUUAUGAAUAAGGAUCGGCUAACGCCGUGCCAGCAGCCGCGGUAAUACGGAGGAUUCGAGCGUUAUCCGGUUUUAUUGGGUUUAAAGGGUGCGUAGGCGGCCUUUUAAGUUAGCGGUGAAAGUCUGUGGCUCAACCAUAGAAUUGCCGUUGAAACUGGGAGGCUUGAGUAUGUUUGAGGCAGGCGGAAUGCGUGGUGUAGCGGUGAAAUGCUUAGAUAUCACGCAGAACCCCGAUUGCGAAGGCAGCUUGCCAGGCCAUGACUGACGCUGAGGCACGAAAGCGUGGGGAUCGAACAGGAUUAGAUACCCCAGUAGUC
rnacentral:rRNA from 1 species